rnacentral:rRNA from 1 species
AAUAAUGGGCAAUGGAUAGAACUCUGACGCAGCAACGCCGUGUGAGCGAUGAAGGUAUUCGGAUCGUAAAGCAAUUUCCUUGGGGAAGAAGGUCUUCGGACUUGACGGUACCCAAGGUGGCAGCACCGGCUAACUACGUGUCUACAGCCGCGGUAAUACGUAGGGGGCAAGCGUUGUCCGGAAUUAUUGGGGGUAAAGGGUGCGUAGGCGGCCUUUUAAGUCAGGUGUGAAAGCCCACGGCUUAACCGUGGGAUUGCAUUUGAAACUGGAAGGCUUGAGUAUCGGAGAGGGUAGUGGAAUUCCCAGUGUAGCGGUGGAAUGCGUAGAUAUUGGGAGGAACACCAGUGGCGAAGGCGACUACCUGGACGAAAACUGACGCUGAGGCACGAAAGCUAGGGGAGCAAAC